GGCCUGAGGAAAAGAAACAUAAACAACCACAUGAUGAGUUAUCUUAGUUGUUUUUGUUUUGUUAAUCUCCUGUUAUUAACCUGUUUUUGAGAGACAUGGACUUUAUUAAUGUUACUCCUUUUUGGGCCAUUUUCCACCACUUUCCGGGUCUGAAGCGGUCUGUAGGUCCAUCGUUCGAUCAGUUGUUGUUGCUUGGCAACAAAAAAAGGGGAACCGGAGAUUGCAAGAGAGGCUGAGGAAACUGGGCGUUCCAGAGUUUGCAGGACUCUUAAGGAUAUUUUUAUUAUGCUGUUGUUGCAUAUGCCCCUUUCUACAGAGUGAGCUGCAGUGGGGUGAAGAUGCACUGACAGGAAGAGGAUCGACAAAGAGAUCCAGAGUACCCUAGAGUCUGUGUGUGCCAAUGGCAACAACUAGGAAGGCGUGAUCAGUUAUGUUACCACCAGAGUGACCACUGGCUCGUCAGGGGGCGUGUUUGCCCCGCCCACUUCAGAAAAAUCUGGUGGACAAACAACCAGCUUGUCACGUGACACGAAGAGUUUUCGUUUUGUUCCGUUUCUGGGCUGAAUUAUGAGAAUGGGGCUGCACACACGGCUAAUUCAUGUUUUAGUUAAUCACGCGCUACAGUCAGAGGUCACGUCGUUCACUCAACAUCACAUGAUCAGUGCACUAUUUUUAUGGCGCCUGCGCACUUCUCCGCGCUGUCACCCGUCUCACCUGUGGCGGGCUCGAACACGGGCUCCGCUCGCUCGCGGUUCCGACCCCCCACGCGCUUUCCGGCCCAAAAGUUGAGCUGCUCGGUCACUGUCACGGACCCAGUGGAGGCUCCGCCCAUCGUGUCCAGAGUAGCCAGCGACAUUUCUGCAGAAAGGAACACGUGUGAAGCGACAGCGAGGGACCCUACACUGCCCCAUCCCUCCUUUAGAAAGAGUUUUAUACCCACCGAUGGAGAUGCAAGCAGAGAGGAGCAGGACUUCCUCGGAACAGGAGGAGGGGAGGCCUGCACGCUGCUUUAUAAAGAGGCCACACCUCAGGGGGAGGGGUUAAGAGGCAGAGUCUGAAACUUCAGUUUUUGCAAAAAAAAUAUCUCUAAACCUCCAACCAUAGUGUAAUUUCAUCUUUUAUGGGAUUUUUCAAGUUGUUACCUAAACAAUAUUGUAGAAUAGACUGAAAGAAUGUCUUUUUAAACAACUUUAGUAACUUUACUGAACAAAGAUUGACCUUCUGACCCCUCUCUAAUGCUGUUCUGCAUCCAGCGUCAGACACACCACAACAGCUCACAUUAGACUGCAUUUGCAGCAUAGACUGUAAAAACAAUAUUUUAUAUACAGUCUAUGAUUCCAACACAAGUGAUCCACACGGACGGCAUCCUGCAGCCACUUGGGAUAACAAAAAACAGAAAUGUGUAUCAGUCGGAGACAUUCCAUGUUUGUUCCUAUGUCCAGCACGCUGAUGGAAAACUAACUUUAUCAGCAUGAUCUCCCAUUUGAGAAACCCAUAAAUACUUGGAUUUCUCUUCAAUAAUCUGAUUGUUUUAAAUACUUCCGUCUAUAUUACAGUCAGAUCUUUUUUAAAAGUAUUUAUUCACCUGCAGGUUUAUGAGGUAUUCCUAGAGUUCAAAUGGAAGGCACUGUGAUGGAGACGAGCAAUUAUGCACUUCAUGAAUCAUAAAUCUUUGCAAAAUAAUGUUUUUUUAAACCCAGAAUUAUUUUUUUUUUUUUUUUUUUUACAAAACUUCAUAUUUUGUAUUCCUUAGAUUUUAAAGUCAUGAAUGAACUGGUGACCUGUUCAGGGUUUGCCCCACCUUCAAUCCAACAGUUGAUGGGUUGGCUCCAGCAACCCCAUGACCCCAAAACGGAAACAGCCAGUUUGGAAAUUUGGAUGGAUAGAAAAUGUGUUUUAGCAUUUGGAAAAAACUGUAAAAUAUACUUUUAAUUUUUCACAACAGAUUUUAGUCUCAAAACUCCUCCGACUGAAUCUUUAGCUGUGCAGAAAAAUGUUAGUCUAACACAGAGGUUGUGGCCUUUUGGGUAUUAUAAGACAGUAGUGAGGAAUGACAGAGAUAGAUAGAUAGAUAGUCCUUUAUUCGUCCCACGGCGGGGAAAUUGCAGUGUUACAGCAGCAUUGCAGAUAG